GCCACAAGUAGCAGAUCCUAAAAAGAUGCACCUACAUGGGGAAUGCAGCCUGGUUGUAGCCUGAAAUAUAAAAUUCAGGGAAGGAGGACUUCAAGUCUUCAAUUGGACAUGUCACUCAAAUGGCAGCUGCAAAAAUCAGGACAAAAGUGGAAUAUUAAACCUUUAUAUAUGAUGCUCUUUCUCUUCUGCUCUCCAGACACGAUGACCAAUAUGGAGAAGAUUUUUCUGUCCUCCUAGGUUACCUCCUUCCUCAUCUUCUCCUUCUAUUUGCUCCUCCUCAUUUGUUUUUUUUUUACAGUCUCCUCUGUCAACUCCUCCCUUCUGGCCCAGUCUAAAGCACCUGUGUCAGCUCGGCCUCUCUCCUGCUGUCCUCAUCACUCAGCUUUACCUCCCUCCAUCUUUACUUCACUGUGUCCUCAUCCUGCUCCUGGGCAGCCCAGAGGGAGGCCUAUUACUGCCAAGAAACAACAGUAAUGGUUUGAAAUACACGUUUAUAUCUGAACUCUACAUGCAGCUCCAACUAGCCUCAACUUUCCUUUCUGUAAUGGGAAAGCGUUCUUCCUUUUCUUUCCAUGUAAAGAUGCUAAAUUCUUAAAACCCUUUUUCUAGUUAAUCGUGCUGUAUAUUCAGAAUAAAAAGAAACAAGUGUACAGAGCUUAACCGAGUUCUUUUCUGGUCAAGUCUUUCUGAUUACACCCCUGCUAUAAACAAACACACCACCUUGUUCACAGAAAAACACACACACCAACACACAUAUCCCCCGGAGUCCACACAAACACACACACUCGGCCCAUCCCAGCUGCUCUGCUUUGCAGAUGAAAGUGUAUCUUGGUUGUGUUGGAAAGCAGGAGAUGAAUCAAACACGGCAGCAUUAAUAUUAAUCUACAUACUCAGAGUAAAUAAACUGCUCCAAGGGUUCAUCCAGCAUAAUUUUCAAUAAUCUCUUCUCUUCCCAAUCCUUCCUGGAGCUAAAAAUGGCUGAGAGAGUAAUGAGUAGCUGAGGUGUUUUUUUGUUUGUGUGUGUGUUUGUGUGUGUGUGUGUGUGUGUGUGUGUGUGUGUGUGUGUGUGUGUGUGCGUGCGUGUGUGUGUGUGUGUGUGUGCGUGUAUGUGUGUGUGUGUGUGUGUGUGUGUGUGUGUGUGUUUGUGUGUGUGUGUGCGUGUGUGUGCGUGUGUGUGUGUGUGUGUGUAUGUGUGUGUAUGUGUGUGUGUGGGUGUGUGGGUGUGUGGGUGUGUGUGUGUGUGUGUGGGUGUGCAGAGGUCAGGGACGUUGCUCUUGCCCUUCACAGAGUGCAAACUGCAGUGGCAGGAUGUAACUCUACACCACUGUGUGUGUGUGUGUGUGUGUGUGUGUGUGUGUGUGUGUGUGUGUCUACAGUUAGUCUACAGUAACAAAAACUGUAAUGACAGAGACACGACAUGCACCUCUCACUGUGCCUGAACGUGAGGCGUCACACUGCUGUCCUGUCCUUCAUCUACAACCUGAGUCCUGCUCAGACUGAAAAACCACAUUCAAAAAUAACAUGGUGUGUUCUAAUGUUGAUUAUGAGUUAAACCUCAGUAUCAGCAGCAAUGUCUUCUUCUUCAUUCUACUAAGUUCAAAGAUUGGAGUGUCCACUUGUCACUUGGUUUGUAAGUUGUGUGCUUUCGGCCAACAGGUCAAAUUUGAUUUCUGAACCAUCAGGAGCCCCUCUCACGCUUGAACUGCACUCCUGAACAUUUCCAGACAUUGUCCCAGUGGGCUGCAUGUGUUAAUGCAAACGGAUGAAUCUGUUCAACCCAACUUUUUUCUGCCAGUCCCCCAACAGUGAAAUGUCUGAGUGAAGUCAGGGUGAGCUUGUGUGAACAACGCAGCAGGUAGUAAUCUGGAACAUACACCUGGUGUGAGUGCGCGGGCUGAAAAUGUCAUUUAUAGUUUAUCUGCUUUAUACUACUAUAGGCCCUAUUUAUUGCUCACCUCAGUUGAUUGUAUCAUGUUCUCUAUUAUUGUAUUAUUGUGUUUUGGCUUGUUAAAAUGUGUAAAAAUAAAAACCCAUUCUUUAUCUUGACCUUUCACCUCACAAAUAUAUUCAGUUAAUCAUCAGCUCUAAGCAGAAAGGUGUACCAUAUUUGAAGUUCAGGGCUAUCUGAGAAAUCUAAUGUAAAAGAAGUACAAAUAGGGACUGAAGGGCGGACCACCAAAAACAUUGGACCUAAUUGAUCUACUCUAGGAAGACUUUUUUUUUGUUUUAAGUUUUAGUUUACACAUUUUAAAAUUAUGUUCUUAAAUGUCUAUUCAGAAGAUAAAUAAAAUUGUAUUUUUAAAGAUACAUUACAUUUUCACACUUCAAUAUAAUAUAAAUCAAGUAUAUCCUCUGAAAAUAACUCUGUGAGUCAUGACUGUCUACAAUGGGUGUAACACCCGAGUCCCACUGUCUGUGAUGUUUUCAGAGUUUUCAGAGUCCUAUCUUCACUUUGUUUACAUCGCCAGGACGGCCGGCUGACUCCUCCCCUCGUGUAUAAAAGUUGUUUAAUUGAGGGACUAGAGAAAAGAAGAAUAACAUACUGUACUCACUGCUUAACUGUGUUUCUAGAUCACGCUCAUUUCAGGUAAAUUUACAUGCAGUGUGAAGAUACGAGCAGAAUAAAGAUCGCUAGCAUUAGCAUGCUAACACAACAAUGCAGCGCGAGUUGUUUUGGUUUCAUGCUGGUGCUCAAGGGCAACAUCUGCUGGAUCAAAAAAAUCGCAUAUAAAGCCUUUAAUGCUUGUUUACAUGCAUUAUGUGGUGAUUGGACAUUUCUGUGUAUUUUUCCUUGUUUGGUGCUUGUGUUUUUUUUCUUUCAGAGGCUGGGUGUGGCUUAUCGGCUGCUGGAGCUCUCUGCAAUCACUCACCUGUUCGUCAUCUGUAAUCACCGGCUGCAGCAUUUAUACCCUGGUUCAACUCUCCCAAGAUGCCAGAUUAUUUCUGCCUACACCGUGUGCCUCCAACCAACGAGCUCCAGCGCCUCACCACCCAGCCUCUCAUUCAAGCCUCACCAGCCUUCACCAGCCUCACUUCAAUAAAUACCCCUUUACCCAC